CGGAAUAGGCGGGCCUUGAUCCCACAAUUAUUAGUUAACAGCCAACUACUCAAGCCAGCGAGCUUCUAUUCG
rnacentral:tRNA from 1 species